rnacentral:snRNA from 1 species
GGAUGUGAGGGUGACCUGGCUGCGACUGUCACCCCAGCGAUCGCCAGAGUUGAUUCAGCUGAUCCAGCUGGCUAGUCAGUGUCCCCUUCCUCCCUCAACGUCCCAUGUGCGACACUCCCGAAGCUGUGCACUUUGUUGACGAGGACGACCACCCCUGAUAAGAGCGGGCUUCCUCAGUCAGGAGUACAUGAGUAGCUGCAUUUCUGGCUAGAACCUCCAAACAUGCUCUCACAAAUUUCAGCUCUGCCUGAGCAACUCAGCAAGCCCCAAUCUCAGAAAUAAAAUUUAAAAAAGCGCUGAGGAUGUAGCUCAGUAUGAAGUCCCUG